GACGGAGGAGGCUAGCGUUGUUCGGAAUACUGGGCGUAAAGCGCGCGCGGGCGGUUAUGCAAGUCAGGGGUGAAAGCCCGAGGCUCAACCUCGGAACGGCCUUUGCGACUGCAUGACUGGAGACCGGGAGAGGAGAGUGGAAUUCCCAGUGUAGAGGUGAAAUUCGUAGAUAUUGGGAAGAACACCAGUGGCGAAGGCGGCUCUCUGGCCCGGACCUGACGCUGAGGCGCGGAAAGCGUGGGGAGCAA
rnacentral:rRNA from 1 species